rnacentral:rRNA from 1 species
CACACGACUCUCGGCAACGGAUAUCUCGGCUCUCAUAUCGAUGAAGAACAUAGCGAAAUGCGAUACCUGGUGUGAAUUGCAGAAUCCCGUGAACCAUCGAGUCUUUGAACGCAAGUUGCGCCCGAGGCCACUCGGUCGAGGGCACGCCUGCCUGGGCGUCACGC